AGUGAACGCUGGCGGCAGGCCUAAUACAUGCAAGUCGAACGGCAGCACAGUAAGAGUUUGCUCUUACGGGUGGCGAGUGGCGGAUGGGUGAGGCAUACAUCGGAUUCUUCUAUUUCGUGGGGGACAUCGUAGGGCCACUUAUGCUAAUACCGCAUAUGAUCUACGGGUGAAAGCAGGGGAUCUUCGCACCUUUCGCGACUGAUUGAGCCGAUGUCGGAUUUGCUAGUUGGCGGGGUAAAGGCCCACCAAGGCGACGAUCCGUAGCUGAUCUGAGAGGAUGAUCAGCCACACUGGAACUGAGACACGGUCCAGACUCCUACGGGAGGCAGCAGUGGGGAAUAUUGGACAAUGGGCGCAAGCCUGAUCCAGCCAUGCCGCGUGAGUGAAGAAGGCCUUCGGGUUGUAAAGCCCUUUUGUUAGGAAAGAAAAGCAGCAGGUUAAUACCCCGCUGUUCUGACGGUACCCAAAGAAUAAGCACCGGCUAACUUCGUG
rnacentral:rRNA from 1 species